GUAGGGAAUAUUGGGCAAUGGAGGCAACUCUGACCCAGCCAUGCCGCGUGCAGGAAGACGGUCCUCUGGAUUGUAAACUGCUUUUGAAUGGGAAGAACAUACGGUUUGCGAACCGUACUGACGGUACUAUUAGAAUAAGCACCGGCUAACUCCGUGCCAGCAGCCGCGGUAAUACGGAGGGUGCAAGCGUUAUCCGGAUUUAUUGGGUUUAAAGGGUGCGUAGGCGGCCUUAUAAGUCGGUGGUUAAAGGUAGCAGCUUAACUGUUUUACAUGCCAUCGAUACUGUAGGGCUUGAGUGAUUUGGAGGUAGCUAGAAUUCCCUGUGUAGCGGUGAAAUGCAUAGAUACGGGGAGGAAUAUCGAUUGCGAAGGCAUGUUACUACGAAUUAACUGACGCUGAGGCACGAAAGCGUGGGGAUCAAACAGGAUUAGAUACCCUUGUAGUCC
rnacentral:rRNA from 1 species